rnacentral:rRNA from 1 species
AUGGUGAGCACGACAUAUCAUGCCUUAUGCCAGUCACCGCCCACUCCCUGGCUUUCACCCUUGUGGAAAGUCCCUGUGCCCUUGAAGAUUAAGAUCUUUGUGUGGAAACUACUACGAGAUCGCAUCCCUUCGGGGACCAAGGUACUGAAGCGGCAUGGCCCGGGUGAUGGCUUGUGCCCCUUAUGUGCGGUACCAGAGACGGGGACACAUAUCCUAAUCUCGUGCAUGGCGGCAUGGCUAUUAUGGACGUCUGUCCGCGAGACACUUGGGCCCGACUGGGAUGCCCUGAACCUCCGGAGUUCCUCCUGUCCAGGUCUACACAACAUGCCCGUCAUCGACGCUUAUUUUGGCUUAUCUUUGCAGCGAUAUCUUGGACUCUAUGGACACCACAUAAUAAGAUGGUGA